GGAGAGAUGGCAGAGCGGUUUAAUGCAGCGGUCUUGAAAACCGCAGAACCGGAGACGGUUCCGUGGGUUCGAAUCCCACUCUCUCCU
rnacentral:tRNA from 1 species